rnacentral:rRNA from 1 species
CUUUAAUGGAGAGUUUGAUCCUGGCUCAGGACGAACGCUGGCGGCGUGCCUAAUACAUGCAAGUCGAGCGGAUUGAUGGGAGCUUGCUCCCUGAUAUCAGCGGCGGACGGGUGAGUAACACGUGGGCAACCUGCCUGUAAGACUGGGAUAACUUCGGGAAACCGGAGCUAAUACCGGAUAAUCCUUUUCCUC